AACGCUGGCGGCGUGCCUAAUACAUGCAAGUAGAACGCUGAAGGAGGAGCUUGCUCUUCUGGAUGAGUUGCGAACGGGUGAGUAACGCGUAGGUAACCUGCCUGGUAGCGGGGGAUAACUAUUGGAAACGAUAGCUAAUACCGCAUAAGAGUAGAUGUUGCAUGACAUUUGCUUAAAAGGUGCAAUUGCAUCACUACCAGAUGGACCUGCAUUGUAUUAGCUAGUUGGUGGGGUAACGGCUCACCAAGGCGACGAUACAUAGCCGACCUGAGAGGGUGAUCGGCCACACUGGGACUGAGACACGGCCCAGACUCCUACGGGAGGCAGCAGUAGGGAAUCUUCGGCAAUGGACGGAAGUCUGACCGAGCAACGCCGCGUGAGUGAAGAAGGUUUUCGGAUCGUAAAGCUCUGUUGUAAGAGAAGAACGAGUGUGAGGGUGGAAAGUUCACACUGUGACGGUAUCUUACCAGAAAGGGACGGCUAACUACGUGCCAGCAGCCGCGGUAAUACGUAGGUCCCGAGCGUUGUCCGGAUUUAUUGGGCGUAAAGCGAGCGCAGGCGGUUAGAUAAGUCUGAAGUUAAAGGCUGUGGCUUAACCAUAGUACGCUUUGGAAACUGUUUAACUUGAGUGCAAGAGGGGAGAGUGGAAUUCCAUGUGUAGCGGUGAAAUGCGUAGAUAUAUGGAGGAACACCGGUGGCGAAAGCGGCUCUCUGGCUUGUAACUGACGCUGAGGCUCGAA
rnacentral:rRNA from 1 species